UGGAGAUAAUACCUGAUAGAGGAUAAAUACUGGAAGGUUUUAUUCUUCAAAGCUUCGGCACCUGAGGAUGGGACUGCGUCGGAUUAGCUUGUUGUCGGGAUAAUUACCCGACAAGGCGAUAAUCCGUACGGGUUGUGAGAGCAAUAGCCCGGAGAUGGAUUCUGAGACAUGAAUCCAGGUCCUACGGGACGCAGCAGGCGCGAAACCUUCACAAUGCCUGAAAGGGUGAUGAGGGAACUCUGAGUGACUUCGCAAUGCGAAGUCUUUUGCCAAGUGCAAAAAGCUCGGUGAAUAAGUGGUGGGCAAGACAGUUGCCAGCCGCCGCGGUAAUAACUGCGCCACGAGUGGUGAUCUCGUUUAUUGGGCUUAAAGCGUUCGUAGCCGGUUUUAUAAGCAUCUGGUGAAAUCCGAUAGUAAACUAUUGGGCUGGCUAGGUGUACUGUAAGACUAGGGACCGGUAGGGGCCGGGAGUACUCCUAGGGUAGGGGUUAAAUCCUUUAAUCCUAGGGGGACUACCAGUGGCGAAGGCGCCCGGCUAGAACGGGUCCGACGGUGAGGGACGAAAGCUGGGGGAGCGAUCCGGAUUAGAUACCCGGGUAGUCCCAGCUGUAAACGAUGCCCGCUUGGUGUGGUGAAACUUUCGUGGUUUUGCCGUACCGUAGCGAAAGUGUU
rnacentral:rRNA from 1 species